CAAAUGAGGAUAAGGCAGCCUUUCAUUGUCAGACAAAGCCCUUAUCAUCCUAUGGCGGACAACAUGUCCCCAGUUAAUCUGCUUUGAAUUCAAAAGUGCCCAUAACAGCAGGAUAUCCUCGUUUGAUGCCUGACCAAUAUUUGAGUAACGUGGAAUCAAUAUUCUGGUUACGACAUAAUGCGGUAUCCUUCGCUGCCCCUUCAAUCCCCCUG
rnacentral:lncRNA from 1 species